GGCAAGAGAGCUUCAGGAUCUCCAGCAUGCUGGGCCUAAGAGGAGAUUAUCUUGGACUGAAAUUUAUGUCCCUAUGAGAUGCUGUCAUGCCAUCUUGAAGAACAAAAUGGGGGAAUUUUCCAUCCCAGUCAUUCGGAACCGCCGUUUUAAGAACAUCUGGUGUAACUGGACCAUCUGGGCAGGCCCCAGAAACCACGUUAUCAUCUAUGUCCAAGGGUUUAGGGGAAGCAAGGACUGUGAAGAAAACCCAGAUAAAAUUAUAUUUCAAGGGGUCGCCUCUGUUAUAGAAAGCGCCGUAGCCUAUGCUUGUCGGAACAAGAGAGUGCAUGUCUAUGCAACUCAGGCCUUGGCUGUGAAUGUGGCAUUGCUGUUGAAGAACUAUGCCUGGAGUCAUCGAUACAAACACUUUAGAGGGAAAUAUUAUAUCUUCAGAGAUCCCAGGGCAAAAGAUUCAGAGACAGAGGACCCAACCUGUCAAGUGCCUUUUCAAAAGCCUUCCCACAAGCUUCCCUACAGUAGUACUGGACCAAAGGUUGAACCACCUGUUGUGAUGUCUCAAGGGGGUGUAGAGAUGACCUCUCCUGAACUAAUGCCAUCAAAAACUCUUCAACCAGAGAGAUUUUCCACACAGGGAAGAGAGAAGGUUGAGUUUUCUGAGACCUCUUUGUCCUACUCUGAGAGGCUAUCUGAUAAAUCCCAUGCUCUUGGCAUCAUGGUUACAAAAACACUAAGUGUAGGUGACAUAAGCCUUGGGGAUGGAUUGUUUUCCAAAACUCUAGGGGAAACUGCAGCCCUUGAUACUAGAUGGUUGGAAAUUAUAGAGGAAAAGAGCAUUCUUUCCCCUGGAUCUACUAUGGAUGGCUCAGCAGUUGACAUAGAAAUCCUUUAUGGAAAUACCCCUUACUUUGUGGGUCCUGAGCAAUCAACUAUAAUGGAAGAUUGGUCCAUAAAUAUCAAACCAGUAAGAGCAGAUAAUCAAACCAACUACUUAAUUCCUACUUCAGAGGAAGUGCCAAUAAACAUUAAGCCAACCCCCAUAAGCCAUUCAGUUUUUAUUAUUCUCUCAGGUUCAGAAUUCCUCGAAAAGACUGACUGCUCUAAAAAUGAGAAGAUCCAGAUAAGCCCUUCCCAGGUAUGGAGCAGUCUGCCUGGAAGUGAACGGCAACCUUUUCUGCAGACUGAAGUCCUGGCUCAUGAAGCAGUGCCUUUAUCCACUGAUUCUAUGGGGAAUCACAUGUCUGGUAUCUUCUUGGCCAGUGAAACUCAGUUGCCCCUCGAAGGUUCCCUGCACUUGAUCCCUGUGGUUCCAACGGUUCAUACAGCUGUGGAUUUUUCUCUUCAGUCUUUUAAAGUUGGUGACUUACUGGCUGACCCACAUUCAGGAGCUGUCAUUUCCCUUGAAACCAUACAAACUCCUAGUGGUGGUGGAAUGAUUUGGUUGAACUCUCAAGAAAUCCUCAGUGAAGCAGGGUUCACCCUGAUAGUGGCAUCUCCUGAUGGAAUAGGAUUAGUCCCUGAACCGUCUUCAACCAUCUCCAUUAGAUCCACAGUGGUCAGAGCUGAGUUGCUUCUCCAGACAGCCAGAUCACUUCCAGGGCCAGUAGAGACAGAAAGCUUGGCCAGCAGUGUGACCUCUGAAGAGGGCCCCAGUAGGCAUGAAGUGAGUCUUUCUGAAACAGAUUUUAAGUUUGUACUUGGUCAAGAGAGGUCUCCCCCCUUUACCACUUACCAAGAAAGUCUAUUUGAUGCUGAGGUGACCCCAACUUCUCCUCAAGUGGCUAUGUCUGAAAUUGUUCCUGAGUGGGCUCUCCAAAAUAUUCCAGCACCCAUUCCCUCAGCCUACCACAAUGAACAAGUGGCAACUGAGCAGUCUUUGGAGAUCACUUUGGCCUUAACCUCAGAAGCCAUGCUAAAAACCAAGUGGCCUUCUGUGACCCCAGUUAAGACUAGAGCUGAGAUAGACUCCGUGCUUAUUGUUCAAAGUAUAACCACACCUUUUGCUUCAGUGAAUCAUGAAGAGAGCAUGGUGGGUACUAUGUUCUUUGUUGAGAUCCCCUCGAGCCACCAUUCAGACUUCUCUAAGAGCAACAUGGAGGAUCAUGUCUUCAAUCCAGCAGCAGUAUCUCUUGCCUUCCUGCCCACUCCUACUCUGAGCAUAAAUGAAGGUGAGCUUACUAUUAGCAGUCCCUUAAGUCACUGCUGGGGUGAUAUAGGGGAAGUGUUUACAAGCAUGGGAAAAACUGAACCUCUUGCCUUUUUCACUUCGAGGAAUGUGGAUCUUACUACCUCUGUGUCAAGUCCUAGAAGUCUUACAAUUGGCUUAGAGAAUCUCUUAGACCUGUUACAAGGUGAACACUUUAUUGAAAAAGAAACACAGAGUGUCUCUCAACUAGUUCCUAAGGGCAAGCUUUCACAAGGUAGGGAUGCUUCUUCAGAAAGUGAAAUUCCCAUAGUAACUAAGACUUAUUAUAAAAUGACUCCCCUGUCAACUCUGCAAUGGGCCCUUAGCAGGACCAUGACUCUAUCUUGGGAGCUUGAUGAAAUGCAGAAUAUUCAGCCCUCAAAGAAGGAUGCUACGCUGAAUGAAAGCAACUCUUGGAAAUUCUCCAACUCCCUUGGAAGGGACCAGAAAGUCACCAAAUUCGACGGUACAUCUUUGCUCCCUAGUGUUCCAACAGUGUCCUUGGGUAGGCAGGAUCAAACUGGGGACCUUUUUGCAGUCUCUUCAUCCCUGCCUCUCUGGUAUGAGGAUGUAAACCCUUUGGAGGCCAAAAGGCUUCAAGACUCCUCUGAGGUGCUCACCUCAACCAGUAUGGUGGUCUGUAUCCCCAUAAGAAGGUGCCAUGUGGUUUUGAAAGAUACCUUUGGAACUUUUUCAUUGCCAAAGAACCUAAACAGUCAUUGGCCAAACAGCUGUUGUAACUGGACUAUCUGGGCAGGGUCCAAGAAACACAUUGUUGUUUACAUCAAAGGAUUUGAGGGGCCUGAGAACUGUGACCAAAACCAGGACAAAAUCAUUUUUCAAGGGGUCUCAUCAAGUGUGGAAAGGAAAACCUUCUAUGCAUGUAGAAGGCAAGGUACUUUGAUUUUUGCUACUCAAGCCGUGGCUGUCCAUAUAGUGUUUCUCUUUGUGAGGUCUUAUCCUAGACACAUCCCAUCUUUUGAAGGCCAGUAUUUUAUCUUCACAGACCCGGAGAGACAAGUCCCUCCUAAACCUGCCAUUGAUUCUUCCUUAGCAACUUCCCAGAGACUCAGAAAGAGGAUUCUAAGUAGCAUGGGUUCUCAUCCUGAGCUAGUAACAAAGCUGAAGCCUGGGAGCUUUCCAAACCUGAACACUAUCUAUGUGGGUCUGGGGAACAAAAGCCAAAUGGUGACUGAGACAUUGAUGCCAAAGAACGAGGGGCUAAAGGAGGGAGAAGGAAAGGCUCUUGAAUGGACGUAUCUACAUAGCCUCCUUCCUCUGAUUCCUGCUAAAGGGCCAUCGAUAAGGAACAAAAACUCACCACCCAACUUGCUUAGGCAGGAGCUCAGCAGGCCAACAGAGACUAUAAAAAAUUCAGCUGGAAGGGACUCUGUGGUGUCAUUCAGGAUGUCAUCAAUCCCAGUUACUUCCUAUGGGAACAAACCAGGAAAUAAAGCUUCUCAAGAUAGCUUGCCUGUGGACUCAUUGAUCAUUCACCCUCAUUGGCUUUCCAAGACUUUCCCCUUGACAGAGCGGCUUCCGAAACCCGUAGGCAUUUCUGACUGGCUUCUUCCCUCUGCCAGUGUUCCAGAACAGAGACUUCCUUGGAUUGCAGCUAAAAAAGAAAAGCUCGCAUGGCAAGAGCACCUUGUUAUUACUAAACCUUCCCACCUUUAUUCAUCCUUGACUGCUCAGAGUAUAAGGAAAUUCCAGGAUGCUGUGCGUAAUCAUGAUCAUCUCCACCAGAGUUUCAGCCAUGUGAUGCUGGUUAAAGGAAAGAAUUUUCUAGAAAUAAGGCCUGGAGUUGAUAAGUCUGUCACCAGUCCUUCAAAUAUCCCUAAAAAAGAACUAUUCUCAAAUCUCCUGUUCAAUGAAGAACAGGUAGCACCAGAAUGCAAAGAGAGAGGUGGAGAAACCUUCCCAACAAGGAAUGAGGCGAGCAGGGGAGACAGCUUGGAUCCAGCUCUGUCUAGCACUUUGGGAAAUAUCAGACCUCUCAAUGAGGAGCAUCUAGAUCUGGAAAGCCCUAGGGGAGUGACAACCUCCAAUGGAUUUGUGUGGGAUUCUCUAUCUCCCGGCAGCCUGACUGAGCUCUCCCCUUCCUUGAAGACCCCUGGCACUGCCCAGAGCUUCCUCAGAGAAGUCACAGGUGCUGUCCAUCCGAGCACUGGUGCUGCCCACUCGAGUGCUCCAACGUCUAACUUCAAAGCCAAGGAUGAUUUGCAGGCCAAAGCCAUGGUGUCUUUAAUCUCUGGUCAAGUGUGGAAGAACAUGACUGCUGAUGGAGUCUUGGUUUUAACCCCAGGAUAUGCUGAUGCAGAAGCAACCUCCCCAUCUUUUGGAAAUGAGUCUGUCUUAGAGUUCCAACAUUAUCCAGGAGAUAUCCUAUAUGAAGUAAUUGUUGAAAUGGAAUGCCCGGUAGAGACCCCAUACAAUACCUCUGAAGUGGAGAAAGUCUUGGCAGACUCACUUAAGCAAGAGAUUGGGGAAAAUCUAGGCCACUUUUCACCUGAAGCAGAUGAAUUCAAACUAACUAGAAUUAAAAGAAAAGAUACCUCAAAUGUCAUGUUCGUUUUCUGGCUGCAUCUGAGAUCUAGAGGGAGAACUAUGUCAGACGCUCUGAUGUCCCAAUUAGGAGCAUCUGAGAGCAGUGUACUGCAUCCUCAAUUAAGAAUUCUCAUCAGAGACACAGUAGAAGCUCUUCAACUUCAGCUGAAAUCUAUCUCCAUUCACGAUGUGAAUGAAUGUGAAAUUGGCCUAGAACAAUGUGGUGAAGGGGCUGAAUGCUUCAAUGGAGUUGGUACUUACAUAUGUCAUUGCAAAGAAGACUAUGAGGCUCGUUCCUCCAUGCAGAUCGGUACUCUGUGUGUCCAUAUCCCGCGCUCAGGAGUUGGAUUUUCUUUCAAUUAUCUGGAUCUUCUCAUCACUGUUGCUGUCUUUGCCACCGUCCUCCUCAUGCUGAUAAUAGGUUUUGUGUGGCUGGCAACCAGAACAACCUGAGAAAAGAGGGAUUUUUGCCUUCAGCAGACAAUGUCCCUGGAGGGUUUGUCUACAUUACCACUGACCCAAACCAAAUCUCACCCUAACUUGAGGAAGUUCAGUAAAUGCUCCCUCUAUAAUCCGUAUCAGCCUAAGCUUCCAGCCAGAAUCAUAGAUAGCUCCCUGGAACAAAUACCUUACAAAGACUCCCAUGUGUGUAUGGAACAGUCUGAAUGUCUCAAAUAAUGAUUUAAGGAAUAUUUAUCUGUUGUCCCUCUGAUGUCCUGUUGAGUCAGAUGAAGGAGGAGGUGACUUUUCUGUCAAUGAUCAUGGGUGACCAAUUUUUCUCUGGGACAACAAAAAGACACUGCACAUUUUAGGGUGGAUGGGGUGGGGGCGGUGUCCUUCCAGUAACUUAAAAGGAAAGAAUUUCUGAUUGUAAUUCAGUUUGUCUUUCUUGUUCUUUCCUACCUGAAUUAUACUUCUUGGAUCUAGAUUCCAGCCUCUGUAGGUGAAGGAAUUCACGUUUGUGUCUUAGCAUCAAGACUUUUACACUAAUUCCUGUAAUGAGCAGAAGCACAAAGCUAAUGACCUGGAAAUUUUUGUGCCAUCUGACUGAGGUCUGCAGGAAGCACCUAGGGAUCCAGGAAAUGGAGGGGACACACCAUACCUAUUUCCAAAGCUGAUGAAUGAGUCCUGUGACUUUUAAGGAUGCCCAAGUUAAAGUGCUGUUAAUUUAGCAUAGUUUGGAAAUUCCCAUUUGACCAUAGUGUAUUUUUAUAUGAAGAAUUAAACUCCAGCCCCCUCCUCCCCUCACCCUGCUCUGGGGAUGGGGAAGGAGAAAAGCCAUGAUACUCAAAAAUAAUUCUCUUCUUGUACCUACCAUCUGUUUUUUGUGAAGUUAGAAAUAUGUGUAUUGUAUUUGUAGAAAGACUCUUAAUUCUCUUAGUCUACUGCUGAGAUGCUUUCUUGUUUUAAAUUCCCUCUCAAGAUCAUUUUCCAUAGCUAAGCACUGUACUGUUAAUUGGUUUUGUUUGUUUUUUUUACCAAUACUAUGGCUACCUGUUCAGAGAAAUUGCUUUGUCUGAUAUGAUAGUUUACUUGUAAGCUGACCUCCAAAUAAAAUAAAAUAGCCUUUUUUUGGAAAAAAAAAG
ensembl:lncRNA